UGGGGAAUAUUGCACAAUGGGCGCAAGCCUGAUGCAGCCAUGCCGCGUGUGUGAAGAAGGCCUUCGGGUUGUAAAGCACUUUCAGCGAGGAGGAAGGUGGUGAGCUUAAUACGCUCAUCAAUUGACGUUACUCGCAGAAGAAGCACCGGCUAACUCCGUGCCAGCAGCCGCGGUAAUACGGAGGGUGCAAGCGUUAAUCGGAAUUACUGGGCGUAAAGCGCACGCAGGCGGUUUGUUAAGUCAGAUGUGAAAUCCCCGGGCUCAACCUGGGAACUGCAUUUGAAACUGGCAAGCUAGAGUCUCGUAGAGGGGGGUAGAAUUCCAGGUGUAGCGGUGAAAUGCGUAGAGAUCUGGAGGAAUACCGGUGGCGAAGGCGGCCCCCCUGGACGAAGACUGACGCUCAGGUGCGAAAGCGUGGGGCAGCAAACAGGAUUAGAUACCCUGGUAGUCCACGCUGUAAACGAUGUCGAUUUGGAGGUUGUGCCCUUGAGGCGUGGCUUCCGGAGCUAACGCGUUAAAUCGACCGCCUGGGGAGUACGGCCGCAAGGUUAAAACUUAAAGG
rnacentral:rRNA from 1 species